UACCAAACUAAACCAGUGUGCUCCAAGCUUGUAGAACGUUUGUGCCUUCAAUGGAGUUGUUGAUUCCCUGACAAAAUAUAUUCCAAUAUGCCUCACAACGUGUUGGAAAUUGUAUUUUUACUCACAGUAUUGCUCUGUCUGCACUCAAUAAAAGCUCAAGAAUGUGUGGAAUUGACAAUACUAAUUGAUGAAGUGUGCAGUAACAAAAUGACAAACGUAAGGACUAUUCUACCAAACUACUUGAAGUCAGAAGACCGUUGCAAAGCAAUAAAUGUAACUAUUGAACUUGAAAACGAAAAUAAAACUACUAUCAUCAAUUUAAAGUAUGAUAUACCUGCAUCAGCCUUAAAUGCGAAUCAUACCUCUGUGAUAUACACCGCAAGCCCUGCUGCAAGGAUGGGCGUAACAGCAGUAAUUGCAAUAAGUGCCGUGGCUGGAGUUGCUGGUGUUGGCGUCGCUUCUUACUUUGGCUACCAGAUGCUGCAGACAUUCCUACAAUCAGGAACUUACAGGAUGUAGCAGAACGCAAAUGCCAGCUGAUAAUUUAUUGUGAUUGAAAUAGACGUUUCAAUUUUUAAAUUUUAUUUUAUAUAUAAUAUAAUAAGAAUUGUAAAUGUAAUUGUAAGUAUAGCAUUUUGUUUGUAAAAUACUCAACUGAUCUUGGCAGGAUUUGUACAUAUUAUCAGCGGUACAGAAACGGAUGUAUGAAAAAACUUUAUCAUGAAAAUCAAAAUUAUUUCCGAGUGACAAAAAUUAUUCUAUAUUUUUUAAAUCACAUUAAGGGACGAAACAGGACGUUCAGUUAAUGGUAAUUGAGUGUCCAUUACAAUGCAGUAUUCUUGAAUAACCCAAAAAUUCUUAGUGGCACUACAAUUGCGGUAGUCACCUCGAGACAAAAUAUAUUAAGUCUCGUUUGCCCAGUAAUUUCACAAUCUACGACACCCUUCAGACCGAAACACAAAAUUGGCUCACAUAAUAUUUACUCAGGAUUUAAACAUGUUUGGGAAAUUUAAUUAAACAUUUCUUAGUUACUAAUUACAACGCCAUCUAGCGGUGCAAGUACAUUAUUAAAUAGGUUAAAUAUAUCAUGUACUUCUCUUUAUUUUUGGUUUCCAAUUGAUACAGUAUUAGCUAUUAUCAAGCUGUAUUUAUUAUAAUUACUUGAUAAAUUAAAAAUAUAACUUUUACAGUUA